UUCGCCGACCAGGCGAUCGCCGGCGGGCGCGAGCCCGCGGGAGGAAAGUCCGAGCUCCAAAGAGCGCGAUGCCGGGUAACGCCCGGUGAUGGAAACAUCGAGGAGAGUGCAACAGAAAAGAAACUGCCCCGCGCGCUCGGCAACGGACGCCCCGGGGUGAGGGUGAAAAGGUGGAGUAAGAGCCCACCGCGCCUUCGGUAACGAAGGUGGCAUGGCAAACCCCAUCGGGAGCAAGGCCACAUAGGCAGACGCAUGGGGGACCGAACCCAUCCGCUUCGUCGCAAGGCGAGGCGAGCAGAGCGGCUCGCUCGAAGUCUGCGGGUAGGCUGCUGGAGGCCGUCGGUAACGGCGGUCCUAGAGGAAUGAUUGCCACGCGCGCAGCGGCGACGCUAUGCGCGGACAGAACUCGGCUUACGGACGACGAAGACC
rnacentral:RNase_P_RNA from 1 species